GACGAACGCUGGCGGCGUGCUUAACACAUGCAAGUCGAACGGUAAGGCCCUUCGGGGUACACGAGUGGCGAACGGGUGAGUAACACGUGGGUGAUCUGCCCUGCACUUCGGGAUAAGCUUGGGAAACUGGGUCUAAUACCGGAUAUGAUCACGCUCUUCAUGGGGUGUGGUGGAAAGCUUUUGCGGUGUGGGAUGGGCCCGCGGCCUAUCAGCUUGUUGGUGGGGUAAUGGCCUACCAAGGCGACGACGGGUAGCCGGCCUGAGAGGGUGUCCGGCCACACUGGGACUGAGAUACGGCCCAGACUCCUACGGGAGGCAGCAGUGGGGAAUAUUGCACAAUGGGCGCAAGCCUGAUGCAGCGACGCCGCGUGGGGGGAUGACGGCCUUC
rnacentral:rRNA from 1 species